rnacentral:rRNA from 1 species
UACGUAGGGGGCAAGCGUUGUCCGGAAUCAUUGGGCUAAAGAGCGCGUAGGCGGCCCGAUAAAGUCCGCUGUGAAAGUCAAGGGCUCAACCCUUGAAUGCCGGUGGAUACUGUCGGGCUAGAGUCCGGAAGAGGCGAGUGGAAGUUCCGUGGAUGUAGGCGGUGAAAUGACGCAGAUAAUCAGGAGGAACACCCAUGGCGAAGGCAGCUCGCUGGGACGGUACUGACGCUGAGGCGCGAAAGCGUGGGGAGCAAACAGG